rnacentral:rRNA from 1 species
UCAGUAACGGCGAGUGAAGCGGGAAGAGCUCAUUCUGUGAAUCUGUAUGCUCUUUUGGUAUACCGAGUUGUAGAAUAUAGAAGCACAUCAGUGCGAAUUCCGGUCUAAGUCUCUUGGAAAAGAGCAGCUAAGAGGGUGAGACUCCCGUUCUUGGCUGGAAUUCAAACUUUAGCAUGUGGUUUCGACGAGUCGAGUUGCUUGGGAUUGCAGCUCAAAGUUGGUGGUAAAUUCCAUCUAAAGCUAAAUAUCGGUGGGAGACCGAUAGCGUACAAGUACCGUGAGGGAAAGAUGCAAAGAACUUUGAAAAAAGAGUUAAAGAGUACCUGAAAUUGCUGAAAUGGAAGCGAAGGAAACCAGUGCCGUUCUGUAUCAUUCUUCCGUCCUUGCUUGCGAGGGUGGCGCUGUGAUGCAGGAUAGGCCAGCGUGGGUUUGAGCCGAAGGAAGCAGCUCUUCAGGAGGCAGCGCAAUUUCUGUGCGAUUACUGUUGAGCUUUGCUUCGGCUUGGACUGAGGCUAGUCACUUGUGCUCGUGACGCUGGCGAAAUGGUUUUCUUUACCCCGUCUUGAAACACGGACCAAGGAGUCUAACAUAUGUGCGAGUAUAUGAGUGACAAACUCACAUGCGAAAUGAAAGUAACAGUGGUUGGACCUUCUGGGCACAAUCCGCCGGCCACAAUCCUUCGGGAGAAAGGUCUGAGUGUGAGCAUACAUGUUGGGACCCGAAAGAUGGUGAACUAUGCCUGAAUAGGGUGAAGCCGCGG